rnacentral:misc_RNA from 1 species
GCAAACUUGGUCAUUUAGAGGAAGUAAAAGUCGUAACAAGGUUUCCGUAGGUGAACCUGCGGAAGGAUCAUUAUUGAAUAAACUUAAUGGAUUGUAGCUGGCUCCUUGAAGCAUGUGCACGUCCAUUAUCUUUAUCUAUCAUCCACCUGUGCACCUUUUGUAGUCUUGUGAAAAUGGGAACAGCAGUCUCUCGAUGAGUUGACAAACUCCGUCGGAUAUGGAAAGUGUUGCGUGAAAGCGUGACUCUAUCCUCCAUGCUUGUAAUCAUUUCCUGACUAUGUCUUUUCAUAUACCACGUAGUAUGUUGCAGAAUGUAUCAAUUAGGACUAUGCGCCUAUAACAAUCAAUACAACUUUCAGCAACGGAUCUCUUGGCUCUCGCAUCGAUGAAGAACGCAGC